rnacentral:tRNA from 1 species
GCCGAUGUGGUGGAAUUGGUAGACACGCCAUCUUGAGGGGGUGGUGACCAUUAGGUCGUGCGAGUUCAAGUCUCGCCAUCGGCACCA